GCUUUCGUGGUGUAGUGGUCAGCACGCUUGACGCGUAACGGAGAGGUCCGUGGUUCGAUUCCCGGGGAAGGCG
rnacentral:tRNA from 1 species